rnacentral:SRP_RNA from 1 species
CGGAAGUCGGUGUGGACGGACCUGUCGCCAACCCGGUCAGGUUCGGAAGAAAGCAGCCGUAACGAAUUCGGUCCGGGUCGUGCCGGCUUCCACCU